CACAACCACCACCACUCCCACCACCACCACACCUCCCACCAAAACCACCACUCCCACCACCACCACGACUCCCACCACCACCACCACUCCCACCACCACCACCACCACCACCACGACUCCCACCACCACCACGACCAAAGGUACCACCACCACCUCCACCACCACGACUCCCACCACCACCUCCACCACGACUCCCACCACCACCUCCACCACCACGACUCCCACCACCACCACUCCCACCACCACCACGACUCCCACCACCACCACUACCACCAUCACCACGAUUGCCUCCACCACCACGGCUCCCACCACCACCACCACCACUCCCACCACCACCACAACCACCACCACGACUCCCACCACCACCACGACCAAAGCUCCCAACCCCUGCGAAGGCAAAAACUACAAUUAUGCCAACCCAGAUGACCCACACACCUUUUUUAACUGUGACUGGGGUCAUGGCUCUCUGAUGAGUUGUCCUUCAGAUCUGGUCUAUUAUGAAUCGUGCGACUGCUGUGACUACGCCACCAACCCUCACCACGCCAGGACUACCACCACCACCACCAAAAAGACCGGAACCACCACCACCACCAAAGAUACAGAGAACGUCUGUGAAGGCAAAAAUGGCCGUUAUACCAACCCAGAUGACCCACACAGCUUUUUUAACUGUGACUGGGGUCAUGGCUCUCUGAUGUAUUGUCCUGGAGAUCUGGUCUUUUACGAAUCGUGCGACUGCUGUGACUAUGUCGACAAGUAUCACUACUACGACAAGACUACCACCACCAAAAAGACCGGAACCACCACCACCACCACCAAAGGUACCACGACCACCACCACCACCAUGACUCCCACCACCAUGACCACCACUCCCACCACCACCACCACCACGACUCCCACCACCACUCCCACCACCACCACUCCCAUCACCACCACCACCACGACUCCCACCACCACUACCACCACCACCACUCCCAUCACCACAACCACCACUCCCACCACCACCACCACCACGACUCCCACCACCACGACCACCACUCCCACCACCACCACCACUCCCACCACCACCACCACCACUCCCACCACCACGACUCCCACCACCACCACGACUCCCACCACCACCACUACCACCACCACCACGAUUGCCUCCACCACCACGGCUCCCACCACCACAACCACCACCACGACUCCCACCACCACCACGACCAAAGGUACCACCACCACCUCCACCACCACGACUCCCACCACCACCUCCACCACGACUCCCACCACCACCUCCACCACCAUGACUCCCACCACCACCUCCACCACCACGACUCCCACCACCACCUCCACCACCACGACUCCCACCACCACCACCACUCCCACCACCACCAUGACUCCCACCACCACCACUACCACCAUCACCACGAUUGCCUCCACCACCACGGCUCCCACCACCACCACUCCCACCACCACCACAACCACCACCACGACUCCCACCACCACCACGACCAAAGCUCCCAACCCCUGCGAAGGCAAAAAUUACAAUUAUGCCAACCCAGAUGACCCACACACCUUUUUUAACUGUGACUGGGGUCAUGGCUCUCUGAUGAGUUGUCCUUCAGAUCUGGUCUAUUAUGAAUCGUGCGACUGCUGUGACUACGCCACCAACCCUCACCACGCCAGGACUACCACCACCACCACCAAAAAGACCGGAACCACCACCACCACCAAAGAUACAGAGAACGUCUGUGAAGGCAAAAAUGGCCGUUAUACCAACCCAGAUGACCCACACAGCUUUUUUAACUGUGACUGGGGUCAUGGCUCUCUGAUGUAUUGUCCUGGAGAUCUGGUCUUUUACGAAUCGUGCGACUGCUGUGACUAUGUCGACAAGUAUCACUACUACGACAAGACUACCACCACCAAAAAGACCGGAACCACCAACACCACCACCAAAG
ensembl:lncRNA